rnacentral:rRNA from 1 species
AUGCACGCUUGCGGCCUUCCUCAUCCCUUCCAUUCGAGCCAACAGACGAGGAGCUUGCUCCUCUGACGUUAGCGGCGGACGGGUGAGUAACACUUGGAUAACCUACCUAUAAGACUGGUAUAACUUCGGGAAACCGGAGCUAAUACCGGAUAAUAUAUUUAACCUCCUGUUUCCAUAGUGUAAGACGGUUUUGCUUUCACUUAUAGAUGUAUCCGCGCCGCAUUAGCUAGUUGGUAAGGUAACGGCUUACCAAGGCAACGAUGCGUAGCCGACCUGAGAGGGUGAUCGGCCACACUGGAACUGAGACACGGUCCAGACUCCGACGGGAGGCAGCAGUAGGGAAUCUUCCGCAAUGGGCGAAAGCCUGACGGAGCAACGCCGCGUGAGUGAUGAAGGUCUUCGGAUCGUAAAACUCUGUUAUUAGGGAAGAACAAAUGUGUAAGUAACUAUGCACGUCUUGACGGUACCUAAUCAGAAAGCCACGGCUAACUACGUG